CCCUUAGAUGUUCUGGGCCGCACGCGCGCUACAAUGAUGCAACCAACGAGUGCUGCUCCUUGGCCGAGAGGCCCGGGGAACCUUGCAAACUGCAUCGUGCUGGGGAUAGAUGAUUGCAAUUCUUCAUCUUGAACGAGGAAUGCCUUGUAAGCGUGAGUCAUCAACUCGCGCUGAAUACGUCCCUGCCCUUUGUACACACCGCCCGUCGCUCCUACCGAUUGGAUGGCCCGGUGAAGUGGUCGGAUCGGUGGCGCCCGCGCGGUCGCGUGGGAAGCCCCGAGAAGUCCAGUGAGCCUUNCNAUCUAGNGGAAGGAGAANUCGUANCA
rnacentral:rRNA from 1 species